CCGUCCGAUCCAAUCGGCUCCUCCGUCCUCCAUCUCUCUCAAUGACCUCGAUCAAACGGUGCGGGCCCCAUCACUCGGUGUCGAUUCCGUUUCCGUGUCCUACCCAGAUCAGAACGUCCUCCGGCUGGUCAGAAAGAUGAGUGGUUUUUAACGGGUAAGGGAAAGGCGUAAUAAAAACGGGUGGGGCUGGAAAGGUACGCGUGGCAAGUGAUAAAGAGGACAGCUGGAGCCAACCCAGCUCCAAAAGCUCCGGGACCACCCACAUAGUAAAUGGUGAGUCGGGGAGUCUACGAUGGGUCCCCACUCAGCCCGCCAAUGAGAAUUUAGUUUCACGUUGCGUAUAUUUAGAUUUUUCAUUCAAUAUUAAACUUAUUAUAAAGGUUUCAUCAAUAUUAAAAAUCCCUUAAAUUUUCUA